AUUUUUAAACACCCAUCACCCAUCUGAAGAAAUUAUGACUGGGCGACAUGAGUAUUAUCGUGAAAAUAAUUUCAGUGAAGAUUUAGAAUAUUUAUUACGGAAGGAUUUCCAAUAAGAAAUUAUUAAACAAAGUCAGUUGAAAAAAUCCAUUCAUCCGUGAAAAUAUUAAAGUACACUUGAGAAUGAAUAUUUAUGGUUAGAUAAUAUAAACAAAAUCUCAGAUCAAAAUUUAAAAUCAACAUAGAAUAUCUUUCUUUUUCAGAUAAUGACUCAUUAAUAAUAAUUAGCCUUUGAUAUAUGGUUCAAAAACCCGUUAACGAGUAUAGAGUGCAAUGACCAAAAAUUUGUUAUUUUGAUUCGUUCUCAACUAGAGAUUUUCAAGUAUAAGAGCUUCUUUCAUCUACCUAUAUCAUCAAAUUUCCAGAAAUUUCCCACGAGUCCAGUAGACACCUAUCUUUGUAUAAUUUAGUUAACAUUAAUUCACCGAGCAAACGAAUAAAUUGAUAUUGUACUGACAAAAAUAAGCCAAAACAGAUUCGAAAUAGAGUUUAAAUUGAACAUAGAAUCAAAAGAAACGAAACCAAUAGAAAAAUUGAUUUGAUUCGCGUUUCGAAUAGCAAUUAGCACAAAUGAAUCAACUAGAAAAAGAAUAAUUCUAAUUACAUAAUUAACUUCAUAUAUAUAGAAUAAAAAAUAUCAUCGAAUAUAAUAGUUACGAAAUAUUUCGACCGUCCUUCGUUUCUAUUCAAUGAACGCGAAGUAGGCAGGUGAGAACGCUAACCUUAAAAAAUGACCAAGCUGCUAGUUAACCGGAAACAUGCAGAAUUUCACCAACAGGUUACAAGAUUCGAAAUUAUACAAAGCUUGAGACCGAAGUUAAGAAAAUCAAUAAACAAAUAGCAAUGCUCAUGUACACAGAAACUAUAACCGACACGUGCUAUUUAUCGAUCCUAAAAUGCUUUCAGAAUCGCACAAUUUAUUCAUCGCGUAACCAUUUUAGUCUCGUUAUUAAUUUUUCAACAUUAAAAUGAAAUAGUUCAUGCUGGUUGAGAAACUUUCACAUUACGAAUGCAAUUAUCGAAGACCACGAUCUCAGCAACCGGCAUAAAUUUUCCACAUAUAACAGAUUCAAAAAACAACCUUGAAAUGUUGAAUAAAAUACAUAAGAAUAUAACAAAAUAUUUGAAGACCAGUCUUAUUGAUAAUUUCAAGAGUUAUAUACCACGUUGGCUAUUCUAGCAGCUUCUACAUACUCUUCUGACAUAUUGCUUAGCUUUGCUUUGAUGCCGCCAAAAUGAAGCUGCUAUUUAUCUUCAAAUUUGAGCGCAAAAAUGACGAUUGAAUUGUAAAAAGGUACUCACUUUACUUGAGAUUCCUUAUCUGCCAUUGUUAGAAGAGUUUUGGAACUUUUUCAAUAGUAAUAUAUAAAAAACUGUUUAUUAGAUCAGGGAAGCGCGAAUGAACUCACUAAAGGCGGCAAGUGGCUGAUAGAGAGAGUGUAAAAGCGAAA